CAGUAGCCGCGGUAAAACGUAGGUCCCGAGCGUUGUCCGGAUUUAUUGGGCGUAAAGGGAGCGCAGGCGGUUUAGUAAGUCUGAAGUUAAAGGCAUUGGCUCAACCAAUGUAUGCUUUGGAAACUGUUAGACUUGAGUGCAGAAGGGGAGAGUGGAAUUCCAUGUGUAGCGGUGAAAUGCGUAGAUAUUAGGAAGAACACCAGUGGCGAAGGCGACUUUCUGGACGAAAACUGACGCUGAGGCGCGAAAGCCAGGGGAGCGAACGGGAUUAGAUACCCCCGUAGUCCCUGUCUCUUAUACA
rnacentral:rRNA from 1 species